UGCAUAUGUGUGUUAGUGCUAUAUGCGCUUAUAUUAGAUAUUAUAUCUAUAUAUCUAUAUAUAUCUAAUAUAUGCGUAUACAGCACAAACGCUAUACUUUAUUUAGUACGCAUAUAUAAAUAUAUAAAUAUAAAUAGACAAACAAUUUACACUCUUAUAAACAGUGUUGGGUUAACUGAUAGACAAAAUAAGCACUGCUAUCAUAUUUUAUUUAUUGGAAAUAAAUAAAAAUAUCAAGUAAUUCUCUUUUUAGACGAUGAUGGUGACUUUUUUAGAAAAAAAUUAGAAGAUUUACAAAAGUCCAUAGGUGAGUAAAAUUGCUUUUAUGUUUAUUAUACACCCUAAUUAUUUAUGUACAUCUAAUAUUAAAUGCGUUUUUUCAAUUUGAGAUUAGUUUUGGACUUUGUACUUUUUGGUCAAUUUUUUUAGAUAUCAUUUUAAACUACAUUUGUAAGUAACUAUAUUAUGUUUUAUGUCUCAUAAAAGUUUUAAUAAAUAAUAUAAUGUAAUCACUUAUAUAGUGACAAAUCCAACUUCCUCAGUAACGUAUGUUGUUGUACUCACUUAUACUUGACUUAAUUUAUGGAUUAAUUGGUUUUAUUGCAUUUUUAAUUUUCUUUUAUUUAUCUCUAGCUGCUGCUUCUUCUGUUACAAGCUCGAAGUCAUGGGAAGAAUUCAGAAAGUAUCGCUCCCAGCAUCCAGGCCCUCUAUCUAUGAGGGCCUUCCAUCGCUGGUGUUUGUAUGGGGACGACCAUCCCUCCUUUAGAUGGAGGGAUGGCACCCCAUACAACACGGGGAAUAGAGCGGAUGCUGGGAGGAGAAGACAACGUGGCGCAAAAGUUGUCAAUAAUUUUUUUACAUAUUAAAAUGUAAAGAAAUUGACAACUUUUGAGCCACUUCAUUUUUUUUUUUGUAAUAUAUUUUUGUAAAUUUA